rnacentral:rRNA from 1 species
AACGAACGCUGGCGGCAUGCCUAACACAUGCAAGUCGAACGAGACCUUCGGGUCUAGUGGCGCACGGGUGCGUAACGCGUGGGAACCUGCCCUUAGGUUCGGAAUAACUCCCCGAAAGGGGUGCUAAUACCGGAUAAUGUCUUCGGACCAAAGAUUUAUCGCCUUUGGAUGGGCCCGCGUUGGAUUAGCUAGUUGGUAGGGUAAAAGCCUACCAAGGCGACGAUCCAUAGCUGGUCUGAGAGGAUGAUCGGCCACACUGGGACUGAGACACGGCCCAGACUACUAAGGGAGGCAGCAGGGGGGAAGAUUGGAAAAUGGGAGGAAGCAUGAUGCAGCAACGCCGUGGGCGGGAUGAAGGACUUCGGGUUGUAAAACGUGAUCGCCGGUGACGAAGCGUGAGUGAGGGGAAUGGGUAAAGAAAAACGGGCUAAAUACGUG